GAGACCAUGUAGUGAAGGUAGAGACCAUGUAGUGAAGGUAGAGACCAUGUAGUGAAGGUAGAGACCAUGUAGUGAAGGUAGAGACCAUGUAGUGAAGGUAGAGACCAUGUAGUGAAGGUAGAGACCAUGUAGUGAAGGUAGAGACCAUGUAGUGAAGGUAGAGACCAUGUAGUGAAGGUAGAGACCAUGUAGUGAAGGUAGAGACCAUGUAGUGAAGGUAGAGACCAUGUAGUGAAGGUAGA
rnacentral:sRNA from 1 species